UAGUGUUACAGCUCUUUUAAAAUUUGUCUAGCAGGUUUUCUAAUUUUUACCCAGAACCCCU
ensembl:snRNA U7 U7 small nuclear RNA